GACGGUCCUGGUGCAGGGGGCCACCGGCGUCGCCGGCCGGCUGGCGGUCAAGAUCGCCCGGCUGCUGGGCGCCGGCCGGGUCGUCGC
rnacentral:tRNA from 1 species